ensembl:lncRNA
UUUCCUGUCUAUGCUUGCAGGCUUGAAUCGCUGGAGGGGUGAUGGGGUGCCUGACAAAAUUGGCACCGUGAGAUGUAAUUCUGCAGUCUGUCUGGAGCCUGGUUGUGAAUACCUUGUGUGGGGUAGAUUGCCUAAACAUACGGAGGUGUCUCCAGGUAGUGCUGUGCUGACAGAGCCAACAAAUUCUCGGUCAGCGCCUAAAGGCAUUCUUGUGGCCAGGCUCGUUACUCACCUAUGGGGGGACAGGUGGGUUCCAUUGAAGUUAAUCAAUACCUGGAACAAACCUGUUAUGCUGAAGCGUAAUGCCAAGAUAGCUGAUUUGUUUCCAGGUAUUGCGCUUGAAGACAUGGAUGAUGGGAACCAGAUUUCUCAGAUGCAGCAAAAUCAGGCAGAGGAUAAUAAUUCGACUGAUCUGAGGUCUGUUGCUGAGAAGCUAAAGUCAGUUGGUCUGGAAGGGCUUGAUCUGGAUUCCUGUGAUGCGUCUGAGCAUUGUAGACAGAAAUUGGCUGAUGCAAUAAUGCAGUAUAAUGAUGUCUUUUCACGCCAUCAUUUGGAUUGUGGCAAUGCUACUGAAUUUGUCCAUAGGAUCCAUCUUUCAGACUCAAAACCGUUCCGACUUCCGUACCGACGUGUGGCGCCCAGUCAGUAUCAGGUGUUGCGUCGUGUUUUGAAUGAAAUGGAGGAAAAGGAGAUUAUUCGCAAAUCGACUAGCGAGUUUGCGUCUCCUUUGGUCCUUGUUUGGAAAAAGAAUGGUGAUUUACGCGUGUGUACGGAUUUUCGGUGGUUAAACAAAAGAACGUUUAAAGAUGCUCAUCCGUUGCCUCACCAGGCUGAUUGUUUGGCUGCGUUAGGCGGAAAUUCACUAUUCAGCACAAUGGACUUGACCUCCGGCUUUUACAAUAUGCCUUUACAUGAGGAUGACCGAAAGUACUCAGCCUUUACAACGCCUAUGGGCCUAUAUGAGUACAAUCGGCUUCCUCAAGGGCUUUGUAAUAGUCCUGGGAGUUUUAUGCGCAUGAUGACAA